UGAGGCAUCUCCGGGUAGGGCGCCGGCCUAAGUUCCUUGGAACAGGACGUCACAGAGGGUGAGAAUCCCGUGCUUGGCUGGCUGUCCCCGUCCAUGUGAGGUGUCUUCGACGAGUCGAGUUGUUUGGGAAUGCAGCUCAAAAUGGGUGGUAAAUUUCAUCUAAAGCUAAAUAUUGGUGGGAGACCGAUAGCGCACAAGUAGAGUGAUCGAAAGAUGAAAAGCACUUUGAAAAUAGAGUUAAAAAGUACGUGAAAUUGUUGAAAGGGAAGCGCUUGAGACCAGACUUCGGUAAGGGGUGAUCAGCCGUCCUUUUGGGCGGUGCACUUGCCCCCCUCCGGGCCAGCAUCGGUUGAGGCGGCGGGAUAAAGGUCCCGGGAAUGUGGCUCCUUCACGGGAGUGUUAUAGCCCGGGUGAAUGCCGCCAGCUUCGACCGAGGACCGCACCCGCAAGGGUUAGGAUGCUUGGCAUAAUGGUCUUCAGCGAC
rnacentral:rRNA from 1 species